rnacentral:rRNA from 1 species
CAGCCGCCGCGGUAACACGUAGGGUGCAAGCGUUAAUCGGAAUUACUGGGCGUAAAGGACGCGUAGGCGGAUUAUCAAGUCUCUUGUGAAAUCUAACGGCUUAGCCGUUAAACUGCUUGGGAAACUGAUAAUCUAGAGUAAGGGAGAGGCAGAUGGAAUUCUUGGUGUAGUGGUAAAAUCCGUAGAGAUCAAGAAGAAUAUCCAUUGCGAAAGCGAUCUGCUGGAACUUAACUGACGCUAAUGCGUGAAAGCGUGGGGAGCAAACAGGAUUAGAUACCCCUGUAGUCCCUGUCUCUUAUAC